rnacentral:rRNA from 1 species
GACGACGCAACGCCGCGUGGAGGAUGAAGAUCUUCGGGUCGUAAACUCCUGUCGAAUGGGACGAAUAGGUUGCGGGUGAACAGCCCGUGAUCCUGACGGUACUGUUAAAGGAAACCCCGGCUAACUCCGUGCCAGCAGCCGCGGUAAUACGGGGGGGGUAAGCGUUGUUCGGAAUUACUGGGCGUAAAGGGCUCGUAGGCGGCCAACUAAGUCACACGUGAAAUCCCUCAGCUUAACUGGGGAACUGCGUGUGAUACUGGAUGGCUUGGAUCCGGGAGAGGGAUGCGGAAUUCCAGGUGUAGCGGUGAAAUGCGUAGAUAUCUGGAGGAACACCGGUGGCGAAGGCGGCAUCCUGGACCGGUAUUGACGCUGAGGAGCGAAAGCCAGGGGAGCAAACGGGAUUAGAUACCCCGGUAGUCCUGGCCCUAAACGAUGAAUGCUUGGUGUAGCGGGUAUCGAUCCCUGCUGUGCCGAAGCUAACGCAUUAAGCAUUCCGCCUGGGGAGUACGGUCGCAAGGCUG